rnacentral:rRNA from 1 species
CCAUGGGAGUUGGGGGCGCCCGAAGCCGGUUAGCUAACCUUUUAGGAAGCGGCCGUCGAAGGUGAAACCAAUGACUGGGGUGAAGUCGUAACAAGGUAGCCGUAUCGGAAGGUGCGGCUGGAUCACCUCCUUUCUAAGGAGUAAUUACCUACUGUUUAAUUUUGAGAGUUCNNNNNNNNNNNUGGUGCAUGGUUGUCGUCAGCUCGUGUCGUGAGAUGUUGGGUUAAGUCCCGCAACGAGCGCAACCCUUGCCUUUAGUUGCCAGCAUUAAGUUGGGCACUCUAGAGGGACUGCCGAGGAUAACUCGGAGGAAGGUGGGGAUGACGUCAAAUCAUCAUGCCCCUUAUGCUUAGGGCUACACACGUGCUACAAUGGGUGGUACAGAGGGUUGCCAAGCCGUGAGGUGGAGCUAAUCCCUUAAAGCCAUUCUCAGUUCGGAUUGUAGGCUGAAACUCGCCUACAUGAAGCUGGAGUUACUAGUAAUCGCAGAUCAGAAUGCUGCGGUGAAUGCGUUCCCGGGUCUUGUACACACCGCCCGUCACACCAUGGGAGUUGGGGGCGCCCGAAGCCGGUUAGCUAACCUUUUAGGAAGCGGCCGUCGAAGGUGAAACCAAUGACUGGGGUGAAGUCGUAACAAGGUAGCCGUAUCGGAAGGUGCGGCUG